AUGACAUAAUUCAACAACAGUUGCAGCGGUAAUACUUUGUAGCUCAAAGAUUAGUUCAGACGCCCUAUAAUACCGCGAGUAAAUGUACGAUAUGUUAAGCUUUACUAAAUCUAUGAAUACAUGAUACAGGAAUAAACCAAAAGAGAGAAUAGUACCAGUCUGCAAGCGCUCCAAAAAUUACAAAUCUUAUCCUCAUGUGUAUGAUUAACUGUAAAACAAACAAAAAAAUACCUAAUAGGUUUAAGUAGACACAUUUUGCAUGAAAAAACCC
rnacentral:lncRNA from 1 species